rnacentral:rRNA from 1 species
AAUAGAUACCCGGGUAGUCCACGCCGUAAACGAUGAGUGCUAAGUGUUAGAGGGUUUCCGCCCUUUAGUGCUGCAGCUAACGCAUUAAGCACUCCGCCUGGGGAGUACGGCCGCAAGGCUGAAACUCAAAGGAAUUGACGGGGGCCCGCACAAGCGGUGGAGCAUGUGGUUUAAUUCGAAGCAACGCGAAGAACCUUACCAGGUCUUGACAUCCUCUGAAAACCCUAGAGAUAGGGCGUUCCCCUUCGGGGGACAGAGUGACAGGUGGUGCAUGGUUGUCGUCAGCUCGUGUCGUGAGAUGUUGGGUUAAGUCCCGCAACGAGCGCAACCCUUGAUCUUAGUUGCCAGCAUUUAGUUGGGCACUCUAAGGUGACUGCCGGUGACAAACCGGAGGAAGGUGGGAAUGACGUCAAAUCAUCAUGCCCCUUAUGACCUGGGCUACACACGUGCUACAAUGGAUGGUACAAAGAGCUGCGAACCCGCGAGGGUAAGCGAAUCUCAUAAAGCCAUUCUCAGUUCGGAUUGUAGG